AGCAGUCGCCGCGGUAAUACGUAGGUGGCAAGCGUUGUCCGGAAUUAUUGGGCGUAAAGGGCUCGCAGGCGGUUUCUUAAAUCUGAUGUGAAAGCCCCCGGCUCAACCGGGGAGGGUCAUUGGAAACUGGGAAACUUGAGUGCAGAAGAGGAGAGAGGAAUUCCACGUGUAGCGGUGAAAUGCGUAGAGAUGUGGAGGAACACCAGUGGCGAAGGCGACUCUCUGGUCUGUAACUGACGCUGAGGAGCGAAAGCGUGGGGAGCGAACAGGAUUAGAUACCCCGGUAGUCCCUGUCUCUUAUAU
rnacentral:rRNA from 1 species